GGAUAAGCGGCGGAAACGCCGUCUAAUACCGCGUGACAACCCGAGGGGGCAUCCCCUUGGGUUCAAAGGAGAGAUCCGGUACCGGCUGGGCAUGCGGCGCAUUAGCUAGUUGGCGGGGCAACGGCCCACCAAGGCGACGAUGCGUAGGGGUUCUGAGAGGAAGGUCCCCCACACUGGAACUGAGACACGGUCCAGACUCCUACGGGAGGCAGCAGUGAGGAAUAUUGGUCAAUGGGCGCAAGCCUGAACCAGCCAAGUCGCGUGAGGGAAGACGGCCCUACGGGUUGUAAACCUCUUUUGCCGGGGAGCAAGCCUGAGCACGUGUGCCCAGGCGGAGAGUACCCGGAGAAAAAGCAUCGGCUAACUCCGUGCCAGCAGCCGCGGUAAUACGGAGGAUGCGAGCGUUAUCCGGAUUUAUUGGGUUUAAAGGGUGCGCAGGCGGGCUGUUAAGCCGGCGGUAAAAAUUCAGGGCUCAACCCUGUCGAGCCGUCGGAACUGGCAGUCUUGAGUGGGCGAGAAGUAUGCGGAAUGCGUGGUGUAGCGGUGAAAUGCAUAGAUAUCACGCAGAACGCCGAUUGCGAAGGCAGCAUACCGGCGCCCAACUGACGCUGAGGCACGAAAGCGUGGGGAUCGAACAGGAUUAGAUACCCUGGUAGUCCACGCAGUAAACGAUGAGCGAUAACUGUCCGGAGCGAGCGAGCUCUGGGU
rnacentral:rRNA from 1 species